rnacentral:rRNA from 1 species
CCUACGGGACGCAGCAGUGAGUGAAUACUUGUGUCAGAUGGUCGAGAGUACUGANCCAGCCAAGUGCGCGUGAGAGGACAGAUCGGUGCCUAUGGAUUGUAUAACUUCUUUUUUNCAGGAAUAAAGUGAGGUACGUGUACCUUUUGGUNUGUACCUGUNCGAAUAAGCAUCGGCAU